rnacentral:rRNA from 1 species
ACAUGCAAGUCGAGCGGACAGAUGGGAGCUUGCUCCCUGAUGUUAGCGGCGGACGGGUGAGUAACACGUGGGUAACCUGCCUGUAAGACUGGGAUAACUCCGGGAAACCGGGGCUAAUACCGGAUGGUUGUUUGAACCGCAUGGUUCAAACAUAAAAGGUGGCUUCGGCUACCACUUACAGAUGGACCCGCGGCGCAUUAGCUAGUUGGUGAGGUAACGGCUCACCAAGGCAACGAUGCGUAGCCGACCUGAGAGGGUGAUCGGCCACACUGGGACUGAGGCACGGCCCAGACUCCUACGGGAGGCAGCAGUAGGGAAUCUUCCGCAAUGGACGAAAGUCUGACGGAGCAACGCCGCGUGAGUGAUGAAGGUUUUCGGAUCGUAAAGCUCUGUUGUUAGGGAAGAACAAGUACCGUUCGAAUAGGGCGGUACCUUGACGGUACCUAACCAGAAAGCCACGGCUAACUACGUGCCAGCAGCCGCGGUAAUACGUAGGUGGCAAGCGUUGUCCGGAAUUAUUGGGCGUAAAGGGCUCGCAGGCGGUUUCUUAAGUCUGAUGUGAAAGCCCCCGGCUCAACCGGGGAGGGUCAUUGGAAACUGGGG